rnacentral:rRNA from 1 species
UGGGGAAUAUUGCACAAUGGGCGCAAGCCUGAUGCAGCCAUGCCGCGUGUAAGAAGAAGGCCUUCGGGUUGUAAAGUACUUUCAGCGGGGAGGAAGGGAGUAAAGUUAAUACCUUUGCUCAUUGACGUUACCCGCAGAAGAAGCACCGGCUAACUCCGUGCCAGCAGCCGCGGUAAUACGGAGGGUGCAAGCGUGAAUCGGAAUUACUGGGCGUAAAGCGCACGCAGGCGGUUUGUUAAGUCAGAUGUGAAAUCCCCGGGCUCAACCUGGGAACUGCAUCUGAUACUGGCAAGCUUGAGUCUCGUAGAGGUGGGUAGAAUUCCAGGUGUAGCGGUGAAAUGCGUAGAGAUCUGGAGGAAUACCGGUGGCGAAGGCGGCCCCCUGGACGAAGACUGACGCUCAGGUGCGAAAGCGUGGGGAGCAAACAGG